UCCCUGCCCACUUGCCGCCGUUGCUGGGGCUGCACCAACCUCUCGCAGGUUCCAAACGCGCCAUGCCCUUCGGGCCUGAGACUUUGUGCCUUUGCUCCAGUAGCCUGCAACCCGGCUGCCCUGUGGCUUGCUCUCAUCUCCCCACCCCCUUAACUGGCCUCGUGCAAACAACAACUUAACUCUCAAAACCUGAGUACAAUUCGCCUCCUCCUGGAAGCAUCCUCUGCGCCUAACUCGGUCCCGCAGGAACCGUGAACCUCUGCCUGUGUUCCUUGCCUGUUGUAUCUGCGUCUGUUACAGUUCUUUCCAGGAGUCAACAGACGCUGGCCCGCGGACCAAAUCUGCUCUGCCAACUGAUGUGGACAUCUAGACACAGAGAGAGCGUAAGUAUAUGGCCAACUAAUCUUUGACAAAGCAGGAAAGAAUAUCCAAUGGAA